AUCCUGGCUCAGAGCGAACGCUGGCGGCAGGCUUAACACAUGCAAGUCGAGAGGGCGUAGCAAUACGUCAGCGGCAGACGGGUGAGUAACGCGUGGGAACGUACCUUUUGGUUCGGAACAACACAGGGAAACUUGUGCUAAUACCGGAUAAGCCCUUACGGGGAAAGAUUUAUCGCCGAAAGAUCGGCCCGCGUCUGAUUAGCUAGUUGGUGAGGUAAUGGCUCACCAAGGCGACGAUCAGUAGCUGGUCUGAGAGGAUGAUCAGCCACAUUGGGACUGAGACACGGCCCAAACUCCUACGGGAGGCAGCAGUGGGGAAUAUUGGACAAUGGGGGCAACCCUGAUCCAGCCAUGCCGCGUGAGUGAUGAAGGCCCUAGGGUUGUAAAGCUCUUUUGUGCGGGAAGAUAAUGACGGUACCGCAAGAA
rnacentral:rRNA from 1 species